rnacentral:lncRNA from 1 species
AAAAUAUACACAAAUAGAGUACGUAGAUUAUGAAUUAGAAAGUGAAGAUAGUAUAUAUGAAUUAUCAGAAAACGAAACAGACGAAAUGGAAAAUAAUUCAGUAAUAGAAUCAGAUAAUGAAUACUAUAUAAAUGACUGAAACAGAUAUACAAAUAAUAACUAAAGAAAAAUAUCAAGAUGAAGAAUCGGCAGAACAAAAAAUAAUAUUUGAUAAUAAUAUAUUUGAACAAAUAAAAGGAAAAUAACUAGACCUAAGCGUAGAAAAAAUAUUCGAAAUACCAACAAUAAGAAAUUGGUUUAAACGACAAAAAGAAGAAUAUUAUGUAGUAAGUCAAAGAGAACAUAUCAUAGAUUGCAAAUACACCAAAGGAAAGGCUAAAAUACCAUUAAUAAACAAACGAAUAAUAAAUAAAGAAAUACAAGAUAUUAAGGCUAAAAAUCCAAUUAAAUAUGUACAUUUAGGAGGAACAGAAAUAUUUAAAAAAGCAUGUUUUAGAGAAGUAAUAGAUACACCCAUAGAAAUAAACUUAGCAGAUGAUAGGAUCAUACAACCUAUCGAAAAAAGUAUAAUAAUAGCAGUAAAAGGUAACCUGAGAUACCAAAAUUAUAUUCAUAAUAAGUGCUAACUACUCAGUAGCAAUAAAUGACAGGAAUAGAGAUAAAUCACUAGUAUUGUAUUGGAAAAUGUCAGGAAUAGAACUAGCCCCAGGAAGUAAAAUAUUUACAACUAGAUGUAAAAACUUGUAUGUUUUAACAACAAAACAUAAGAUAACAGCAAAAACUAAAUAAAUAAAUAAAAUAAGAAAAUACCUUUUGAAAGAAUAGAUACAGUCAUAGAUAAUAAUGACUAUAGUUAUAAUGAGAUUGACAUAGCAGAAGAUUUAGAAAUAGUAAAAGAAAGAUUAAGCACGUCAAAAAGAAUAAACUAAUGAAAUACCCCAAAUAUCAUAAAAAAUAGAGUACCUCAAGAAGAAUAGAUAAAACUCUACAAAAAUUAAUAGAGGAAGAAAUAAAACCAUAUCAUUAUUACAUAACGGGAGUAAUGGAACAACGAAAAUACUUAAUAUUAAUAAAUACAGGACAAGAAGAAAACUAUAUUACAAGAGAAUUAGUAACAAAAGAUGAAAUAAUAACUACUGAACAAUUAUGCCCUGAACUACCAAAGGCAUUAAUAUAUACCGAAAAAACUACAGAAAAGGAAAUAAUCAUUAGAGGAGUAUCAAUAGUAAUAAAGUUUAAAAAUAUACCAAGGAGAUAAAAAUAUCACUUUAGGAAUAAAAUGGUUAGAACAAGUAAAACCAUAUAAUCUAGAAGACAAAAAGUUAACAAUAAAUUAUGAAAAUAAAAGAGUAAUAAUAAAAAGAACUUUAGUUGAUAAAAAUAUGAAAAUAUAUAUACUUGCAAAGAUAAUAAUAGAAGGAUAUUACAACAGAUAUUAUACAUCAAUGAUAGACACAGGAGCAGAAGCUAAUAUAUGUAAAUACAAUUGCUUACCAGAAGAUAAAUGGGAAAAAUUAAAAACACCGAUAGUAGUAACAAGAUUUAAUAAUGAAGGAAGCAUGAUCACAUAUAAGGCAAAAAAUAUAAAAAUACAAAUAUGGGAUAAAAUAUUAACUAUAGAAGAAAUAUAUAANNNNNNNNNNNNNNNNNNNNNNNNNNNNNNNNNNNNNNNNNNNNNNNNNNNNNNNNNNNNNNNNNNNNNNNNNNNNNNNNNNNNNNNNNNNNNNNNNNNNNNNNNNNNNNNAUUUUUAGAAAAAUUAUACCCACAUAUAAUAACAAAAACAAACUGGUGGUUCACAACAUCAUGUAAACAAAAAAUAGGAGCAAAAUGAGUAAACAACAAAAAUAGGAAGAACACAGCAUGGAUCAAAGGAAGUGAAAAGAUUACCCAAAUACUAGAAAAUAUCAAAGAAAUUAAACAUAAUAUCGAAUUAAUUGUAUUUUCUAUAGAUAAACUAAAACUAAUUCAAGAAAAACUAGAAUCACUAUAUAGUGAAAAUCCCUUGAAAGGAUGGGAAAAACAUAAAACAAAAAUAAAAAUCGAAUUAAUUGAUGAUAAUGCCAUAAUAGCCCAAAAACCAUUAAAAUAUAAUUUUAAUGAUUUAACAGAAUUCAAAAUGCACAUAAAAGAGUUACUAGAAAAUAAUUACAUACAAGAAAGUAAUAGUAAACAUACAAGUCCAGCAUUUAUAGUAAAUAAGCAUAGUGAACAUAAAAGAGGAAAAAGAAGGAUGGUUAUUAACUAUAGAAAUCUAAAUGCAAAAACAAAAACAUAUAAUUACCCAAUACCAAACAAAGUAUUAAAAAUAAGACAAAUCCAAGGGUACAAUUACUUCAGCAAGUUUGAUUGUAAGUAAGGAUUUUACCAUCUAAAAUUAGAAGAAGAAUCUAAAAAGUUAACAGCUUUCAUAGUACCACAAGGAUUUUAUGAAUGAAAUGUAUUACCUUUUGGAUUAUAAAAAAUUGCACCAGGAAGAUACCAACAUUUUAUGGAUAGUUACUUUACCCAACUAAAAAAUUGCAUAAUAUACAUAGAUGAUAUAUUAUUAUAUUCAAGAACUCAAGAUGAGCAUAUAAAAUUGCUAGAAAAAUUUAUACAUAUUAUAACAUACUCAGGAAUAAGUCUAAGUAAGAAAAAGGCAGAAAUAAUNNNNNNNNNNNNNNNNNNNNNNNNNNNNNNNNNNNNNNNNNNNNNNNNNNNNNNNNNNNNNNNNNNNNNNNNNNNNNNAAAUAAAAUGGGAAAUAAAUAGAAAAGAAUUAUAUGCUCUAUAUAAAUGUUUAUUAGCUUUUGAACCAUACAUCGUAUAUAACAAAUUUAUUGUAAGAACAGAUAAUACGCAGGUAAAAUAGUGGAUAACAAGAAAGGUACAAGAUUCAGUAAUGACCAAAGAGAUACGAAGACUAGUAUUAAAUAUAUUAAAUUUUACAUUUACAAUAGAAAUAAUAUGUACUAACAAGAAUGUUAUUGCAGAUUACAUCUCAAGACAAAGCUACACUGAAAAACAAAAUAUUAUAGAAGAAAUAUUCAAAGCUCUGAACCUACUUUGCACAAAAGUAGAAAAUAUUGACAAAGACCUACAACAAAUAAAAAGUCAGCAGCAUGACUAUAAAAAUGCGGAGCUAAGUCGACCAGAAGACUUAAAAAAUCCAGAGCUAUAAGGUGACGUUGGGAAACACCUAAAAGUCCAUAAUGAUUUGUUACAUGCAGCUACAGGAAGCACAUCUUCAACAAAAGAAGAAAAUAAAACCAGAUAUGUUAAUACUAAUAUGAACAAAAUAUUUGAAAAACCAUUUAUGCCAAAGAACCAAAAAGAUCCAUUAUUUCUACCACCUCAGCUAAACACAUAUAAAGAAAGCCUAGGACAAAAUAAAAAGACAUAUAACCAUAUAACCAGAGCUUAUAUAGAGAACAUCCACAAAUACAGACCUUUCUAACCAAAAUCCAAAGUCCAAAAAUACAAAAAACCCAUGAAGAUUACAUUACACAAAAUCUACAGGGAUAUAACAAGUUGAUUGCACAACCAGGAACUAGCACCAAUCUAGUAGGAACUUGCUACAACUAUGGAUUAUUGAGUACUGUAUAUACCCAAACGGGAGACGAGAUAUCAACAAUACCAGAGCUACAUAAGGCCUUUAUGCAUUAUAAAAGGAUAACUAAAGGAACCCUUUUUAUAUAAAGUUCUAUUCAGCACCAGCAGAAAUAUUGUAUGAUGAAAUUAAACCUAUCAUACAAGUGAUAAAAAUCGGACUAACUAGAGAAAUGGUAAUACCAGAAAAAAUAGAACGACAAGACGAGAUACAAAAGAUAGAGAUACCGGAAUUCUAUGCAAGAAAAUGGAUUAUUAGAAUAGCUACUAUUUUGAACGAGUUAACAACCUAUUAUUUGAAUGGAAAUUCAGUAUGGAGCUAUUAUGCAAGAGAACAAACUAUGAUAUAUUCAAAUUCCAGAGAAAUCAGAGAAGCAGAUAUGGAAGAAAUACGACAAUGAAUACUGAGCUUAUUAAAACCAGAACAACAGCCAACUACAAGAGCAAUACGGAAGAAUUUCAUUUCGCCAAAAAUAAUGACAAACUAUUGCAAAACUAUUGGACACAGAUAUCCAGAUCAUCAAUGUUCAAAAUGCUAUGGAGAAGACAACGUAAUUCUAGCUGUCCAGCUAGAAUAAAAACGACAAGAUAAAAUGCAAAAACGACAAAACAACCAGGUAAAGUGUGCAGCAGAAGACAAGAUAAAAUGUGCAUUAUUGUAAAGUAAAGUGCAGUAAAGUAGUGUGCAUUAUUAUGCAUUAUUAAAGACAAGUGUAAAGUAAGGUAUGUAAAUUAGUGGACAAGUGUAAAGUAAAAUAGUAUAAGUAAUAGUGUUAGUGAUAGUGAUAGAAAAAGUAAGGUAUGUAAAUUAGUGGACAAGUGUAAAGUAAAAUAGUAUUAGUAAUAGUGUUAGUGAUAAAAAUAAAGUAAGAAAGAUGUAACGUAAGUAAUAGGAUUAGCAUCUCUACUUGUAUAAAUAGAGAGCCAUUAGGCACAUCUAAGGCAAGACUCUCUCGACGGAAAGCAAGCCUCCUUGUAAACAAAAAUAUUUCAAUAAAAUAUCAAGUUUCCAAUCUAAGAUAUGGAUCAAAACACAACAGAAAUUACACUCCUAGAAAAACAGGUAUAUCAAUUUAUGAUUAUACAUAGCUAAAUCUAUUGAUUCCUGAAUAUCCUAGCAUGAUUAAAUAAGUUUAUAUUAGUUAUUAUAUGCUAGAAUUAUUUGAAGCAUGUUUCUAGUUUGUUAACAUGAGGAGAAAAGGAAAAACUUCCAGACUAUACCAUCCUAAAGUUGAAACCAUAGGCAAGGAAGCCAUGAGGGGAGUAAACAGAGUUGAGGCGCUGUUAGGAAGGGAGUACCUUUGAAAGUACGAUGUUAAUAGUGACAGGAGAACAUGAUUGAAAAUAAUCUAGUGUAUAGUAAUCUAAUAUGAAUAAUAUUUAUUAUGCAUAUGAUAUAAGAGAAUUAUUGAUUAAACAGCAGAACAUUAAUAUGACUACCUAUCUAUAUGAUGAAAUGAUAUUAGCUUAUGAAACACUGAUUUUAUAUAUUCUAAAAAAAUAUAAAAAAUAAUUGAAUUAAGAAGAAUGAUAUGGGAAAAAAUAUUUGACUUAGAAGAAUUAGAACUAGCAACUCAAACCUGGUAUGAAAUAGACGAAAUAGAUGAAAUAUAGGAUCUAGAACGAAUUAAUAUUAAUGAUUUAGAAUUAGAAUACUCAGACUAAUGAUAAAUUACGAAUACCUUUAAUAUUGGCAAGCAACUAUUGCAGAUAUCACCUUAUUAGGAAAUCUGAUAAAAAAAAAACAAGCAACUAUUGAAAAUAUAACCUUAUUAGGAGACCUAAUAAAAGAAAAUAUAGAAAUAUAUCAAAGAACCCAAGAUAUACAAUAUAUAGAAUAUAUUCUAGAAAAUAUAAAAGAAAUAAUCAGAUUAAUACCCUUGAAAAAAGAAUAUUAUGAUAAAGCUUUCUAUACCUAAAAAGUACAUAAAUAAUAUUAAAGAAAUAUCGAGAUUAAAACACUUAGCCAAAGAAUAUUACAAUAAAAGCUUUAGUGAAACUUUAAUAUUAUAAAACCGAAAAAGCAUAUGAACUCCGCACCCCCGAAAAAUGGUAUCAGAGCUAUGGAUGAAAAGAAACAUAGGAAGAAACAUACUAGUGGAAAGUCAAACAAAAUAAGAAGAAAAUUAAACAAAUUAUAUCCAGAUUAUAAACUACUCAAUAUCACAAAAACUGAUAACGACAAAUUAGAUCAAUUGAUAGAUAAUAUAUCUAAAAUAGAAUAUAAAUAUAUUCAAUAUUUAAAGAUACAAUGAAUAACGAAAAUACCGAAUAUAGACAAAAACUUACUGAAGCAAUUAUAGCAAAAAGACAAGAAUUAAGACAUAGGCAAAAUAGACUUAACAAUAAUAUAUUUGCAGGAAUUUGUAAAAAAUCUAUAAUAGCACAGAGAAAAACUAUUUUUUAUUUACAGAUACAAAUAGAAAAAUUAGAAUAUAAACUACAACACAAUUUAUAAAUGAAUAAAGAAGAAUACGCAAUAGAUGAAAAAACAUAUGAAAACCAUGACGGAUUAAAAAUAAAAAUAAUAUUUUCUAAUCUAGGAAGAAGAUAUAAGAAAAUAGGUGACAAUAUAAGUUUAAUGUUAGAAAAAGAAACGAUAAAACUAGAAGAUAGUUUAACUGCUAUGAUAAGAAUAACAAAAGAAAAUGAAGAAAUAGAUAGAAAAACGGAAAUUGAAAAAAUAAAACAACAAGCAAAAAAGGAAGUACAACAAUUAGAAGAAGUAAAAAAAUACUAAAAUAAUAGAACUAGAAAAAGAGCUGGCAAUAUUAAAAGAAAUGUAUGAACUUAAACAAAAAGAAAAAGAACAAAAAAGUAAAUUAGCAAAUGAGAUAAAUAAAUUUAAAGAAAUAUUGCAUAAUUAGAAGAACUAGAAGAAAAAGAAGAAAACCAAGACAAUCUACCUAAAAUAGGAAUUGAUGAAAUAAAUAAUGAUGAUCUAGAAGAACAACAUUCAGAAACAAGUGAAACAUAUACGGAACUUUUAGCAAAAAUAGAUACAAAGAAUUUAGAAGUAAAUACAGGAAACGUAGAUAUGGAUGAAAAACCUAGUACAUCAGGAAUAAAAAACCAAAAAAAUCCAAGAUACUAUAAUGCAAACUAUAAACAAUAUGAUAGAGAAAAAACUAUGUGGGAUAAAAGAUUGAAUAAAAAAUGGACACCUAAACCAAUAACUGAACAACAUAUUUUUUUAGAUUUAGAUUGUGUAGCAGAUAUAAAUAAAACAAUUCAAUUAUGGAUGGGAUGUAUAUCAAAAUAAUUAAUAGAUAACAAAAUAGGAAUGACAAAAACACCAGGAUAUAUAGAAAGAACACUUAUAGGAACAGUAAAAUUAAUGGCUACAAAAUUUAAUCUGAUGACAGUUUAAAAACUUUUAAGAAGUAAUAAAAAAAUUUAGAUGGUGAAUUAGCUACUACAACUAUGGAAAUAUUAUAUAAAUACGAAGUAGCUAUAAGAAAUGAAUUUAGUAGUAUGACAACAGAAGUAGAAGAACAAAAUAAAGAAAAAAUUAUAAACAGGAAUUUGAUGACAAAAUUAGCAAUAUGUAAUAUGUGUUAUAUAGGCGAAUAUACGUGUGCAUUUAGAGAAUAUUAUUAUAAAGGAACAUAUAAUACAGAAGAAAGUAAAGAAAUAAGAAAAUUAUACUUUACAAAUUUACCAAAACCUUCUAAUUCAAAAGUAAUAAAAAAGUUGGAAUGAAGCAGGAUUAACAGAUACCUUAGGAGCUAGGAUGAAAUUCUUAUAACGAUAGUUUAUAGAACUAUGUGAAAAGUAUAAAGAAGAAAUAAAAAUGGAAAAAAUAUUGGUAAAAACCUUAGCAUGUUGCAAAAAUAAAACAACACCCCAAUUCGGUUGUACAAAUAGAUACUAUAAAAAGAAAUAUAAUAAAAAAUACAGAUCAAUAUAUAAAUAUAAAAAAACAAGCAGAAGAUUCUAUGUAAAACACUAUAAAACUAAAAGACCAUAUAGACCAAAGAAAAAAUUAACAGAAUGUACUUGUUACACUUGUGGAAAAUUAGGACAUAUAGCUAAAAAUUGUAUAUUACCUAAAAUUCCAAAGAAAAAACAAAUAUCAGAAAUAAUAAUNNNNAAAAUAUAUACAAAUAGAGUAUAUAGAUUAUGAAUUGGAAAGCGACGAUAGUAUAUAUGAAUUAUCAGAAAACGAAACAGACGAAAUGGAAAAUAAUUCAGUCAUAGAAUCAGAUAAUGAAUACUAUAUAAAUGACUGAAACAGAUAUACAAAUAAUAACUAAAGAAAAAUAUCAAGAUGAAGAAUCGGCAGAACAAAAAAUAAUAUUUGAUAAUAAUAUAUUUGAACAAAUAAAAGGAAAAGAAUAAGACCUAAGCGUAG